rnacentral:rRNA from 1 species
CUAACUCUGUGCCAGCAGCCGCGGUAAGAUAGAGGAUGCAAGCAUUAUCCAGAUUGAUUGGGCGUAAAGCGUCUGUAUGUGGCUUUUCAAGUCCGCUGUCAAAUCCCAGGGCUCAACCCUGGACAGGCGGUGGAAACUACCAAGCUGGAGUACGGUAGGGGCAGAGGGAAUUUCUGGUGGAGCGGUGAAAUGCAU